UUACUAAUAAAGCAAAGACUGAGCCAUGGUGAGACACAAGCUUUCGUUACACCCUGCAAACUGGUGGUAGUCUUGGUUUAGCAAUUGGCAGCGAGAUUACACUCCUCACUACGUUGUAAAUUCGACUGACUCAUUCUAUAAGAAUUGUUUCAGUUUGUGUUUACGGUUUCCAUUCAAUUUUGAAAACCCGCAGCACCGCGCGGGCACUCUUGCUAGUAACGGGCUAAAGCUCCAAUUAGGGGUAAAAUUGGAAAACCGUUCAGUUAUUUUGCUUG